CCGGCAACGUCUACAUCAACGACAAAUCCACGGGGGCCGUGGUGGCCCAGCAGCCCUUCGGGGGAGCCCGCAUCUCAGGCACCAAUGACAAGCCCGGGGGUCCCCAUUACCUGCUGCGCUGGACGUCCCCCCAGGCCAUCAAGGAGACGCACGUGCCGCUGGGGGACUGGCGCUACGCCUACAUGCAGUGACCUGGGGACAGCCUGGGGACACGGCCACCCCCCCACUGCACUCACACUACUGACCCCGACCCCCCUCCCCUCAUGGGAAUUCUUUAAAAAAGGAAAAAACUAAAAAAAAAACAAAGCGUUGUUCAAUGGUGAAGCUCAGAGCUCCUGUGUGUCCUGGGUCGGGUGGCACUUGGGGACACGAGGGUGAUGUGGCAGUGGUUGGAUUUGGUGGCUUUAAAGGUUUUGUCCAACC